rnacentral:rRNA from 1 species
UACGAAGGGGGCUAGCGUUGUUCGGAUUUACUGGGCGUAAAGCGCACGUAGGCGGUUUGUUAAGUGAGAGGUGAAAUCCCAGAGCUCAACUCUGGAACUGCCUUUCAUACUGGCAAGCUAGAGUCCGGAAGAGGUAAGUGGAACUCCUAGUGUAGAGGUGGAAUUCGUAGAUAUUAGGAAGAACACCAGUGGCGAAGGCGGCUACUGGACCGGUAUUGACGCUGAGGCGCGAAAGCCAGGGAGC